AAACUGGACUCCGGCGUCGUGAAGAGACUCUACACGCUGGACGGAAAACAGUUGACGAGUCUGCAGGAUUUCUUCGGUGAUGACGAUGUUUUCAUGGCGUGCGGUUUGGAGAAGUUUCGUUACGCUCAGGACGACGCUGCUGUCGGACACGCGGGGAAGAGCGCCGCGGCUGCGUUCGUUAACGAGUGUAAGAAAUCACGACCGUCAGUCCCUCCCAAGACAACUGCAUACAAAAGCUCCGGCGUCCCGCGCUCCAAAUCACCUG